rnacentral:rRNA from 1 species
UGGGGAAUAUUGGACAAUGGGCGCAAGCCUGAUCCAGCCAUGCCGCGUGAGUGAUGAAGGCCUUAGGGUUGUAAAGCUCUUUCACCGGUGAAGAUAAUGACGGUAGCCGGAGAAGAAGCCCCGGCUAACUCCGUGCCAGCAGCCGCGGUAAUACGGAGGGGGCUAGCGUUGUUCGGAAUUACUGGGCGUAAAGCGCGCGUAGGCGGACUGAUCAGUCAGGGGUGAAAUCCCGGGGCUCAACCCCGGAACUGCCUUUGAUACUGUCAGUCUUGAGUCCGGAAGAGGCGAGUGGAAUACCGAGUGUAGAGGUGAAAUUCGUAGAUAUUUUGGAGGAACACCAGUGGCGAAGGCGGCUCACUGGCUCGAUACUGACGCUGAGGUGCGAAAAGUGUGGGGAGCAAACAGGAUUAGAUACCCUGGUAGUCCACACCGUAAAACGAUGAAUGCCAGUCGUCGGGUAGCAUGCUAUUCGGUGACACACCUAACGGAUUAAGCAUUCCGCCUGGGAGUACGGUCGC